CCUACGGGGUGCAGCAGUGGGGAAUAUUGGACAAUGGGCGAAAGCCUGAUCCAGCCAUGCCGCGUGUGUGAAGAAGGCCUUCGGGUUGUAAAGCACUUUCAGUGGGGAAGAAAGCCUUGGGGCUAAUACCCUCGAGGAAGGACAUCACCCACAGAAGAAGCACCGGCUAACUCCGUGCCAGCAGCCGCGGUAAUACGGAGGGUGCGAGCGUUAAUCGGAAUUACUGGGCGUAAAGAGCGCGUAGGCGGUCUGAUAAGCCGGUUGUGAAAGCCCCGGGCUCAACCUGGGAACGGCAUCCGGAACUGGCAGGCUAGAGUGCAGGAGAGGAAGGUAGAAUUCCCGGUGUAGCGGUGAAAUGCGUAGAGAUCGGGAGGAAUACCAGUGGCGAAGGCGGCCUUCUGGACUGACACUGACGCUGAGGUGCGAAAGCGUGGGUAGCAAACAGGAUUAGAUACCCGGGUAGUC
rnacentral:rRNA from 1 species